rnacentral:hammerhead_ribozyme from 1 species
GCACUGCUGAGGAGUCCCAUAAUAGGACGAAAUGGACGUCCAGUAC